rnacentral:rRNA from 1 species
AUUUGAAAUCUGGCAGGUCUCUGGCCGUCCGAGUUGUAGUCUAGAGAGGCAUUUUCCGUGCCGGACCGUGUACAAGUCCCUUGGAACAGGGCGUCAUAGAGGGUGAGAAUCCCGUCCGUGACACGGACUCCCGGUGCUUUGCGAUGUGCCUUCGAAGAGUCGAGUUGUUUGGGAAUGCAGCUCAAAACGGGUGGUAAAUUCCAUCUAAAGCUAAAUACAGGCGANAGACCGAUAGCGAACAAGUACCGUGAGGGAAAGAUGAAAAGCACUUUGGAAAGAGAGUUAAACAGUACGUGAAAUUGUUGAAAGGGAAACGCUUGGAGUCAGUCGCGUCGGCUUGGAUUCAGCCUUGCUUUUGUAGGGUGUACUUCCAGGUCGAUGGGCCAGCAUCGAUUUUGGCCGGUGGAUAAAGGCUUGGGGAAUGUGGCACCUUUUUGGGGUGUGUUAUAGCCCCUCGUUCNCAUACAUCGGCUGGGAUCGAGGACCGCAGCACACCGUAAAGGUCGGGGGUUUACCCCACGUCUUGUGCUUAGGAUGCUGGCGUAAUGGCUUUAAACGACCCGUCUUGAAACACGGACCAAGGAGUCUAACAUGCCUGCGAGUGUUUGAGUGGUAAACUCGAGCGCGUAAUGAAAGUGAAUGGUUGGGACUCCCUUCCAAGGAGGCACCGACGCCCGAUCCUGAAGUUUUCCGACGGAUUUGAGGUAGAGCAUGUAUGUUGGGACCCGAAAGAUGGUGAACUAUGCCUGAAUAGGGCGAAGCCAGAGGAAAACUCUGGUGGAGGCUCGUAGCGAUUCUGACGUGCAAAAUCGAUCGGUCAAAAUUUGGGGUAUAGGGGCGAAAGACUAAUCGAACC